UGAACGCUGGCGGUAUGCUUAACACAUGCAAGUCGAACGGAAACGAUACUAGCUUGCUAGUAGGCGUCGAGUGGCGGACGGGUGAGUAACGCGUAGGAAUCUGCCUGAUAGUGGGGGAUAGCCCGAAGAAAUUCGGAUUAAUACCGCAUAAUCUAUUCGUAGUAAAGUGGGGGACUUUCGAGCCUCACGCUAUCAGAUGAGCCUGCGUAAGAUUAGCUUGUUGGUAGGGUAAAAGCCUACCAAGGCGACGAUCUUUAGCUGGUCUGAGAGGAUGAUCAGCCACAUCGGGACUGAGACACGGCCCGAACUCCUACGGGAGGCAGCAGUGGGGAAUAUUGGACAAUGGGGGCAACCCUGAUCCAGCAAUACCGCGUGUGUGAAGAAGGCCUGAGGGUUGUAAAGCACUUUCAAUUGUGAAGAAAAGUUAGCGGUUAAUAACCGUUAGCCUUGACGUUAACUUUAGAAGAAGCACCGGCUAACUCCGUGCCAGCAGCCGCGGUAAUACGGAGGGUGCAAGCGUUAAUCGGAAUUACUGGGCGUAAAGCGUGCGUAGGUGGUUUAUUAAGUCAGAUGUGAAAGCCCCGGGCUUAACCUGGGAACUGCAUUUGAAACUGGUCAACUAGAGUAUGGUAGAGGAAAGUGGAAUUUCUGGUGUAGCGGUGAAAUGCGUAGAUAUCAGAAAGGAACAUCAAUGGCGAAGGCAGCUUUCUGGACCAAUACUGACACUGAGGUACGAAAGCGUGGGUAGCAAACAGGAUUAGAUACCCUGGUAGUCCACGCCGUAAACGAUGAUAACUAGCCGUUGGGGGGAUUUACCCUUUAGUGGCGAAGCUAACGCGUUAAGUUAUCCGCCUGGGGAGUACGGCCGCAAGGUUAAAACUCAAAGGAAUUGACGGGGACCCGCACAAGCGGUGGAGCAUGUGGUUUAAUUCGAUGCAACGCGAAGAACCUUACCUGGUCUUGACAUCCUGCGAACUUUCUAGAAAUAGAUUGGUGCCUUCGGGAACGCAGUGACAGGUGCUGCAUGGCUGUCGUCAGCUCGUGUCGUGAGAUGUUGGGUUAAGUCCCGUAACGAGCGCAACCCCUAUCCUUAUUUGCCAGCACAUCAUGGUGGGAACUAUAAGGAGACUGCCGGUGAUAAACCGGAGGAAGGCGGGGACGACGUCAAGUCAUCAUGGCCCUUACGACCAGGGCUACACACGUGCUACAAUGGGAAGGACAAAGAGCCGCGAAGCCGCGAGGUGUAGCUAAUCUCAUAAACCUUUUCGUAGUCCGGAUUGGAGUCUGCAACUCGACUCCAUGAAGUCGGAAUCGCUAGUAAUCGUAGAUCAGAAUGCUACGGUGAAUACGUUCCCGGGUCUUGUACACACCG
rnacentral:rRNA from 1 species